CCGCCAUUUCAUUCCGUUGAUAAACCCACAGUGGCCCUUCAACCCUAACCCUUGAUGUUACUUCUAGCUCGCAUCUCCCUCCAGAAACCACCAAUUCCCUCUCCCUCCCUAGCGUUAAUCGCUCGUCAUCUUUCUACCGCCUCAACCUCUUCAAAACUCCAUGACCACUACUCGUUUAAACCCCCACCCUCCCUCUCUCCCGAAAUCCCUCAGAAACCUAAUCCAACUCCCAGGAAAAAGCGAAAGCCCUUAUAUCGUCCACCUUCCUCGCUUGACCCGAUUGCCACAAAGCUCAC
rnacentral:misc_RNA from 1 species